ensembl:misc_RNA Metazoa_SRP Metazoan signal recognition particle RNA
GCCGGGCGUGGUGGCUCAUGCCUGUAAUCCCAGUACUUUGGGAGGCUGAGGCAGGUGGAUCACCUGAGGUCAGGAGUUCAAGACCAGCCUGGCCAACAUGGUGAAACCCCGUCUCUA